GGAGUGUACUACCAUUCCCCCCUGGAAACACUGCAGAAAGCAGGGGGGCUCCUUUCCCUGCAGGACCUGGACCUUUCAAUGGAAACACAUUCCAGAAGGGGAGCUAUGUAUGCUUUCAAAGCUGGUCCUUAACGUUCCCUGCUGCACAACACCGGAGGUUAGUGGAUUCCCACCCGCCAAAUCCCCUCUUACUGCCUUUCUUGCCAACACGCGGCACGGAUGGUUACUGCAGCUGGACAACUGCACCACCCCAAGGAGCAGAGACUCGCAAUAGCGACUCUUUGGGAAGGACGCUUAUUUUGGGGAGACUCAUGUUAUCUCAUCUUCAAGGCCACCAGACACGACAGCAGGAAGGGAGAGCACGAGGACACAGAACAGGAAGUGGCACAGCCCAACCUGGUACGUAGCCUCCUGCUACGGCCUCAGGAUUUCAGAAUUUGAAACUGCUUGGAACGCUGAUCAGGCAGAGGAAGGCAGGAUUGAGGAAAUAAAUACAUGCUGAAGCGGGUUCGCGCAGGUAUCGCCCAUCCUUCCAAAACGCUCUUUGGCUGCGAACGGAGACCGGGCUGCGUACACCCCGCGAGCCUGAUGAGCGGUGCUUCUGGGGCCUGCUGCCGCCCCUGCCCAGCACUUCCUGUCUCGUCACGACUAUGGCUUCUGAAGUCACCCCCACGGCACAUCAAGGAGAGUGCCCGUUCGGAGGGAGACCGCCCGGGGGAGGCCACGGCAUUCUAACACCCCCACCUCGUACUCUCCCGGGACUCUAGGAACCAAGUAUCGGCAACUAAGGAGGAUUCAGGACUCCCUUGCAAGGCUGUGGCCUUUAACAGCAAAUGUCUGAAUGACCAUCUUUGGUAUGGAGUCCACUCUGCAGACUUGCUAGGAUGUCUAUAGACAGCACUUGCUUUCAGCUUUAGACAUGGAUUCUUUCUGGUGGGAGUUGAGCAAGCAGGGGAGGCGGUGGGUUGCAGGGUACGGGGGAAGCUGAGAGCUCCAGGGGGUGAGCUUCUUCCUGCCUCUUCCUCUGCUAAGGAAGGGCUGGGUGCUUAAUCUUGGCUGUGCCUUACAACCCUUGAGGAGCUCUUAAGACCUACUGACAUACAAGCCCCACCC